rnacentral:rRNA from 1 species
GGUUAAGCGACUAAGCGUACACGGUGGAUGCCCUGGCAGUCAGAGGCGAUGAAGGACGUGCUAAUCUGCGAUAAGCGUCGGUAAGGUGAUAUGAACCGUUAUAACCGGCGAUUUCCGAAUGGGGAAACCCAGUGUGUUUCGACACACUAUCAUUAACUGAAUCCAUAGGUUAAUGAGGCGAACCGGGGGAACUGAAACAUCUAAGUACCCCGAGGAAAAGAAAUCAACCGAGAUUCCCCCAGUAGCGGCGAGCGAACGGGGAGCAGCCCAGAGUCUGAAUCAGUGUGUGUGUUAGUGGAAGCGUCUGGAAAGGCGCGCGAUACAGGGUGACAGCCCCGUACACAAAAAUGCACAUACUGUGAGCUCGAUGAGUAGGGCGGGACACGUGGUAUCCUGUCUGAAUAUGGGGGGACCAUCCUCCAAGGCUAAAUACUCCUGACUGACCGAUAGUGAACCAGUACCGUGAGGGAAAGGCGAAAAGAACCCCGGCGAGGGGAGUGAAAAAGAACCUGAAACCGUGUACGUACAAGCAGUGGGAGCCUCUUUAUGGGGUGACUGCGUACCUUUUGUAUAAUGGGUCAGCGACUUAUAUUCUGUAGCAAGGUUAACCGAAUAGGGGAGCCGAAGGGAAACCGAGUCUUAACUGGGCGUUAAGUUGCAGGGUAUAGACCCGAAACCCGGUGAUCUAGCCAUGGGCAGGUUGAAGGUUGGGUAACACUAACUGGAGGACCGAACCGACUAAUGUUGAAAAAUUAGCGGAUGACUUGUGGCUGGGGGUGAAAGGCCAAUCAAACCGGGAGAUAGCUGGUUCUCCCCGAAAGCUAUUUAGGUAGCGCCUCGUGAAUUCAUCUCCGGGGGUAGAGCACUGUUUCGGCAAGGGGGUCAUCCCGACUUACCAACCCGAUGCAAACUGCGAAUACCGGAGAAUGUUAUCACGGGAGACACACGGCGGGUGCUAACGUCCGUCGUGAAGAGGGAAACAACCCAGACCGCCAGCUAAGGUCCCAAAGUCAUGGUUAAGUGGGAAACGAUGUGGGAAGGCCCAGACAGCCAGGAUGUUGGCUUAGAAGCAGCCAUCAUUUAAAGAAAGCGUAAUAGCUCACUGGUCGAGUCGGCCUGCGCGGAAGAUGUAACGGGGCUAAACCAUGCACCGAAGCUGCGGCAGCGACGCUUAUGCGUUGUUGGGUAGGGGAGCGUUCUGUAAGCCUGUGAAGGUGUGCUGUGAGGCAUGCUGGAGGUAUCAGAAGUGCGAAUGCUGACAUAAGUAACGAUAAAGCGGGUGAAAAGCCCGCUCGCCGGAAGACCAAGGGUUCCUGUCCAACGUUAAUCGGGGCAGGGUGAGUCGACCCCUAAGGCGAGGCCGAAAGGCGUAGUCGAUGGGAAACAGGUUAAUAUUCCUGUACUUGGUGUUACUGCGAAGGGGGGACGGAGAAGGCUAUGUUGGCCGGGCGACGGUUGUCCCGGUUUAAGCGUGUAGGCUGGUUUUCCAGGCAAAUCCGGAAAAUCAAGGCUGAGGCGUGAUGACGAGGCACUACGGUGCUGAAGCAACAAAUGCCCUGCUUCCAGGAAAAGCCUCUAAGCAUCAGGUAACAUCAAAUCGUACCCCAAACCGACACAGGUGGUCAGGUAGAGAAUACCAAGGCGCUUGAGAGAACUCGGGUGAAGGAACUAGGCAAAAUGGUGCCGUAACUUCGGGAGAAGGCACGCUGAUAUGUAGGUGAAGUCCCUCGCGGAUGGAGCUGAAAUCAGUCGAAGAUACCAGCUGGCUGCAACUGUUUAUUAAAAACACAGCACUGUGCAAACACGAAAGUGGACGUAUACGGUGUGACGCCUGCCCGGUGCCGGAAGGUUAAUUGAUGGGGUCAGCGCAAGCGAAGCUCUUGAUCGAAGCCCCGGUAAACGGCGGCCGUAACUAUAACGGUCCUAAGGUAGCGAAAUUCCUUGUCGGGUAAGUUCCGACCUGCACGAAUGGCGUAAUGAUGGCCAGGCUGUCUCCACCCGAGACUCAGUGAAAUUGAACUCGCUGUGAAGAUGCAGUGUACCCGCGGCAAGACGGAAAGACCCCGUGAACCUUUACUAUAGCUUGACACUGAACAUUGAGCCUUGAUGUGUAGGAUAGGUGGGAGGCUUAGAAGUGUGGACGCCAGUCUGCAUGGAGCCGACCUUGAAAUACCACCCUUUAAUGUUUGAUGUUCUAACGUUGACCCGUAAUCCGGGUUGCGGACAGUGUCUGGUGGGUAGUUUGACUGGGGCGGUCUCCUCCUAAAGAGUAACGGAGGAGCACGAAGGUUGGCUAAUCCUGGUCGGACAUCAGGAGGUUAGUGCAAUGGCAUAAGCCAGCUUGACUGCGAGCGUGACGGCGCGAGCAGGUGCGAAAGCAGGUCAUAGUGAUCCGGUGGUUCUGAAUGGAAGGGCCAUCGCUCAACGGAUAAAAGGUACUCCGGGGAUAACAGGCUGAUACCGCCCAAGAGUUCAUAUCGACGGCGGUGUUUGGCACCUCGAUGUCGGCUCAUCACAUCCUGGGGCUGAAGUAGGUCCCAAGGGUAUGGCUGUUCGCCAUUUAAAGUGGUACGCGAGCUGGGUUUAGAACGUCGUGAGACAGUUCGGUCCCUAUCUGCCGUGGGCGCUGGAGAACUGAGGGGGGCUGCUCCUAGUACGAGAGGACCGGAGUGGACGCAUCACUGGUGUUCGGGUUGUCAUGCCAAUGGCACUGCCCGGUAGCUAAAUGCGGAAGAGAUAAGUGCUGAAAGCAUCUAAGCACGAAACUUGCCCCGAGAUGAGUUCUCCCUGACUCCUUGAGAGUCCUGAAGGAACGUUGAAGACGACGACGUUGAUAGGCCGGGUGUGUAAGCGCAGCGAUGCGUUGAGCUAACCGGUACUAAUGAACCGUGAGGCUUAACCUU